rnacentral:rRNA from 1 species
UUUAAUGGCCGCAGUAAUUUGACUGUGCAAAGGUAGCAUAAUCAAUAGUUUUUUAAUUGAAAGCUUGUAUGAAAGGUUGGACGAGAUAAAUUCUGUCUCUUUAAAAUUUUAUAAGAAUUUAAUUUUUAAGUUAAAAAGCUUAAAUAUUAAUAAAAGACGAGAAGACCCUAUAGAGUUUUAUAUUUUUAUUAUUAAGAUUAAUUUAGAUUAUUUAUUUUUUUAUUAUAUAUAAUAUUUUAUUGGGGUAAUAGAAAGAUUAAAUUAAUUCUUUUUUUUUAUUUAUAUUUAUUUAUAUUUUAUUGAUCCAGUUUUAUUGAUUAUAAGAUUAAAUUACCUUAGGGAUAACAGCGUAAUUUUUUUAGAGAGUUCAUAUUGAUAAAAAAGUUUGCGACCUCGAUGUUGGAUUAAAGAUUAGUUUAGGUGCAAAAGUUUAAAUUUUUGGUCUGUUCGACCAUUAAAUCUUUACAUGAUCUGAGUUCAGACCGG